ACUCUCCAGAUGCCCUACCCAUCAGAUCUAAACAUUGGCCUGAGUGGCUAUAAAAAGAGGAAAAGUCAAACUGAAAUGGAGUUGGAUUCUUUGGUGACAUGCAAAUUAAUUUAAAACCAAC
rnacentral:snoRNA from 1 species